UGGAAUGGAUUUGAGGAAGCAGCAGCGUGGAAGUCAAGGCUGUAGGUAAAACGCGGAAUGGAGUUUAAUAUAUUUAAUUGUAUAAUUUA